AGAACGAACGCUGGCGGCAGGCCUAACACAUGCAAGUCGAACGCGACCUUCGGGUCGAGUGGCGCACGGGUGAGUAACGCGUGGGAAUCUGCCCUGUGGUACGGAAUAACAUCGGGAAACUGGUGCUAAUACCAUAUAUCCCCUGAGGGGGAAAGAUUUAUCGCCAUAGGAGGAGCCCGCGUAGGAUUAGCUAGUUGGUGAGGUAACGGCUCACCAAGGCGACGAUCCUUAGCUGGUCUGAGAGGAUGAUCAGCCACACUGGGACUGAGACACGGCCCAGACUCCUACGGGAGGCAGCAGUGGGGAAUAUUGGACAAUGGGGGAAACCCUGAUCCAGCCAUGCCGCGUAUGUGAUGAAGGCCUUCGGGUUGUAAAGCACUUUCGCACGUGACGAUGAUGACGGUACGUGAGAAGAAGCCCGGCUAACUUCGUGCCAGCAGCCGC
rnacentral:rRNA from 1 species